GAGGCUGUAGCUUUGUGGUAAAGUGCUUUCCUUGCAUGUGUGAGGCACUGGGUUCAAUCCUCAGCACCACA
rnacentral:tRNA from 1 species